rnacentral:rRNA from 1 species
CCGAUAGCGUAUAUUAAAGCUGUUGCAGUUAAAAAGCUCGUAGUUGAAUUUCGGGGUUAGUAGGUUGGUCAUGCCUCUGGUAUGUACUGGUCUCACUGAUUCCUCCUUCCUGAUGAGCCGUAAUGCCAUUAAUUUGGUGUUGCGGGGAAUUUGGACUGUUACUUUGAAAAAAUUAGAGUGUUUAAAGCAAGCUAACGCUUGAAUACAUUAGCAUGGAAUAAUGAAAUAGGACGUUCGAUCCUAUUUUGUUGGUUUCUAGGAUUGACGUAAUGAUUAAUAGGGAUAGUUGGGGGCAUUAGUAUUCAAUUGUCAGAGGUGAAAUUCUUGGAUUUAUUGAAGACUAACUACUGCGAAAGCAUUUGCCAAGGAUGUUUUCAUUAAUCAAGAACGAAAGUUAGGGGAUCGAAGACGAUCAGAUACCGUCGUAGUCUUAACCAUAAACUAUGCCGACUAGGGAUCGGAUGAUGUUAAUUUUUUAAUGACUCAUUCGGCGCCUUACG